CGAACAGUCCUGAGUAUAUUUAUUCACCUUUGUUUGCACAUGCAGGCAGGGACGGGACGCUUAGAAUAGUUUUACAGAUUUGAGACUAUGAGAGAUUUCGCUAUUGACAAAAACAAUCCCAAAGUCCGAUCAGUCGCUGUCGUCUUUUUGUUUGGAGAUGGAGUUUUACCAGGUGACCGAUGAAAUUGUAGGAAUUUGAUUUGAGACCAGAGUCAAGAAGGAACGUUCAAUUGUUAUUUUUAAGGCAACAAGGACCAGAAUUCCUUAAAGUGCUCAAAAGAAACAAAGACGUGAAUAUGUGAAAUGUCAAGAACAAAGUCUGAACUUCAUCUGCUGAGCGAGAUCCUGUGACGAUUGAAAGCUGUAGAACUGCGACUCAAAACAACUUGUGGUGAGGUUUCACCAGUUAAAUAUAUCUUUUUAAUGGCAUUACCAAUUACCACUGCUAAAGCGAUUAGUCAAUUAAUCAGUCAGUCAAUGACGGCUGGAUUAAUGAUGAAUCUGUUUAAGUCAUUGUCUCGCAAAAAAAAAAAAAAAAUGUUCCAUUUCUCAAAUUCUAUUAAAUAAGUUGGCUUUUGUUAUUUUUAUGUUAAGGAAUCUGGGAAAAAUUAAAACAGAUUUAUAACCUUAUUCAGAUCUGAUCCUAAUCGUGAGAAAUUUGGACUAAAGAAGUUUCAACUUUUGGAGGAGAAUCAGUGACUUGAUUGUAUCUUGUUUAAUAUAGCUCACAGAGAAAUUGUUCUCAUAUCGUUUAAAGUUCUUUUGCAGCUCCAACUGUACCUAAAUAGUGUAUUAUAAAAUAGAUAGAUAGAUAGACAGGUAGAUGGACGGAUGGAUAGAUAGACAGACAGACAGACAGGUACACAGACAGGAAGACAGGUAGAAAGAUAGAUGGACACACAGACAGACAGAUGUGUUUCAUUACUAUCAAAUAAAUGUCUUCCUUCGUGUUAGAACGAAUAAACUUAAAUCUAUAACUUAUUAUAUAUUUUUCAUCCGAUCCAUAGCAACACAUUGUCAGAUACCCCCUAACCUUGUUUCUCCUCCGGACCGAAGCGAGCUUCUCCGAGUGUUUCCGAAUCCGCAGAGCUCGGCAGCACUGCGGCUGCGUCACAGCGUCGCCGAACAGCUCAGGUUAACGACAAUAACGACGAAAAACUACCGUGAACUGCACGCGAUACCGGACUCCGGGAGGAGAAGAUGAACCGGGGACGCUGACCGGGAAAGCUCCGGUGUUUACUCUGCGGCUCCCACGGCACAGUCCGGUUAGCUUAGCGGGCUAACGCCGAGAACUCGUAGAUUAGCGCCGCUGCUUCCGAAGCUGCUCUGCGGGGUUCUGGUGCGUGACAGCGGUGCGGAGCCGCCACGAGCGGACUGCUAUGAGCGGGACGCGGCUCGGACUCACCGGUGUCAGCGGCUCUCGGGUCAACGUGUCCGGGAUUUCUGUCCUGUUUCUCCUCGGUGGAUUUCAGAGCUGAGCCACAUCACCAAACGCAUCCCGGAAGCAGAGCUGCCUCUGCGCUGAUUGGACGGAGCUGUCAACUGACAUCGAAGAAGGAAACAUGAAGAAGAAAGGACACGACCUGAGAGUGAAGCUGAUCGUCAACCAUGUCCGCCAGCUGGGCAGGAGCCUGAUGCUGCUCGCCCACUACGCCACGGUGUUUGUGGCCUUCUUUGGCCGCAGCGUGCAGUGGAUGGUGGAGGUGGUGAGGUGGACCAGCCUGUUUGCACGAUACACCGUGUCCGCGUUCGAUUCCAUCUACAGACUUGUGCACGGGGGCAAGAGGAGCAGCGUGGCCGCGGGGACCAGAGAGAUCUGCCCGGGCGCCGACACGCAGCCACAGUGUGCAUCAUAACUUCAUAUCUGCAAACUGACAACCACCAGUGGAGACUGGGUCCACGUUUGGAAACCAAUGGGGAAAAAAACGCACGAUGAAAGAGAAAAAUGAGGCCUUACUGAAGUGUGAAACUUUUAACUUUUUUUAAGUGUUUAUAACAUAACUAUUUGUAACAUAGUCUUACCAGUCUUAUACAUUUUUAUAUUUGUGUUAUCGUCAGCAAAAGCUCUUUCAAAAUGUUGGAAAACAUUUCAAGCUUUUUGUUAGAUGAAGUCACUCAUCCCUCGUACCCGUUGACAUGACAGGGUAACCCGAACCAGAAUUAAGUAAAACACUACGGAAGCAUAAUUUAUACCAUUUCCCAGUUAUCACACUAGAUAUAACACUACAUGAACUCAGUAAAGUACAAACCACUACCGAGUGGCGACACUCCUCAUGAAACCACAUUUAAAGCCACUAAAUCCAGUUUGUUUAUUUGUACAGCCCUAAAGAUGUCUGAUAUUUUCAACCAGAUCCAUUUAUUAUUCUCUGAGAAAUCAAAGAAAAUUAAAAAACCCAGUAUCUCUAAAUGUUAGAGAAAGUGAGAAAAUAUAUCAUUCCUGGAUUUGCGCCCUAAACCAGAUUCAGACCAGAAUGUAUGAGGUUCUUCCCUGACCCAUAUCACAUCUUUCCUCAAGGUUUUGUGGAAAUCUAUCCAGUACUUUUUGUGCCAUCUUGAUCACAAACAAACAGUCAGGGGUGAAAACAGCCAAAUGUAUUUUUCAACCUGUGCCUGUGAUGUUCAUACAUGAUUUAAUAUGAAUAUGUAGAUUUUUUGGGCAUCUUUUAUUCUGACAUGCCUGAAAAGACGCAUGCUGCUUUAUCUGUGAUUGACAUAAAUUCGAAUGUGUUCCGACGUCAGUGUGAGAAAUGGCAUGUUGCUUUAAAUUGACCCGCAGCUGCAUUUACUAAUGUAAAGUUUUUCAUUUUUACUUUUGUAUUGAUCAUUGUAUUUUAAAUGUAAGUGCAUUCAGAAUGCCACUAAAGCACUGACAUGAAUAUUCUGGUUUUACUUCACAAUUUCAGCUGCUGAAAUCAACAAACAGAAAUUCAAACAUAUGUCAAGAUUGUUAUACCAAAGGAAUCCUGUGCAAGAAGUGAAAUUUAAUUUCAUAUAUUUUCUCGUAUUCACCCUGAGACUAAAGGAAAUGUCUGCAUCAUUUUGUAUAUGUUCCCAAAAUGCAAGCUGUAAUCUUUGUUCAGUUAUUGUAAUAAUCAGCCAUAACUGGUUUCAUACUCUAAUAUCCAAAUAAAUUUCUCUACCAGA